rfam:Schistosoma mansoni strain Puerto Rico chromosome W, complete genome
NUCCAGCUGACGAGUCCCAAAUAGGACUAUACGCGCGUCCUGGAC